rnacentral:rRNA from 1 species
UACGAAGGGGGCUAGCGUUGCUCGGAAUCACUGGGCGUAAAGCGCACGUAGGCGGCUUUGCAAGUCAGGUGUGAAAUCCCCGGGCUUAACCUGGGAACUGCAUUUGAGACUGCAUUGCUAGAGUAUGGGAGAGGGAAGCGGAAUUUCCGGUGUAGCGGUGAAAUGCGUAGAUAUCGGAAGGAACAUCAGUGGCGAAAGCGGCUUCCUGGACCAGCACCGACGUCAGGCACGAAAGCGUGGGGAGCAAACAGG